AGAAAGCUUGCAAGACGAGGAAAUAAAGAAUUGAUUAUUGUAUUCGCUCAAAAUUUGCAAAACCCAAAUCCAAAAACAAGGAUCAUUGGACCAGUUACUUUAAUUCGUUGUUUAUAUGCCACGGAAGAAUAAUACUGUUUCUAUGGGUACAUCUUGCUUUUUGUAUGAAAACGCGAAAAUGGUUGUCUUGUGUUCAUUAAAAAAUAUCCAAGGAACGCGAAUCAAUCUAUUUUACGACGAACGCUGAGAUGUUGUGUAAAGGCGUAAACUUCCGAGAUCGAAUCGACAGAGGCAUCCAAGCUUAGGACCCCGCCCCCACGACAAUUAAAUUUUUAUCCGCGGCAGUGACUUGAGGAAAGACCAGGGCGGUGGUUAGACUUUUAAAAUAAAGUUUAAUAUAUUAAUGCAACUGCUAUUUUGCUUUUUCCCCAGACAUUUUAAUUUUACGUGGGUUUUAAAAUUGGGACCCCAAAUCCGGAAUCAGCAUGAUUAAGAUUUAAAUUACGUAGUGAACAAAUUUAUUAAAAUAUUUCUUAGUCAAAUCAUUGUCAGUUCUGCUGUUCUGCAGUUUCACAUUUAAUACUGCUCUUGAGUUGUGACCAGUAGCACAAGGCAUUUUGUUUAAAUACAUUUUCAAAGGAAAUUGAAAAUACCAAAGCCCCAAGGCCUCCAUUUCAAAAACAUCUUCGCUCCAAACAAUCAAGACGCGAAAAAGUCGUUGGCUUAGAAUGUUCAGUUUGUCCAAUAGUUUUGUGAAAAAAAUAAAUCUUAGCUCUUAGCUCUAAAUUUGUUGCUUGCUUCUUCGUUAUAUAGCAAUGAUGCAAUGAAAGAUCAACAGUUUAAUAUAACCACCUUUCCAACAGAAAAUAAUGGAUUCGUUUUCUAAAUUUAAAAAUCGAGUUCCUGCCGUAUUUAGUUGUGAA